rnacentral:misc_RNA from 1 species
UUCCAGACCAGCCCAAGCACUAUUGAACAAUUUAAUUAUGGCACAUCUGAAGCAAUGAUGUGAACAGAUAGCAGAGAAGGGAUUGUAAGUUCUAAUUUUCUGUUUAACUAAAAAAGAAAUAUCAGCAUAUGAUAUAUACAUAUAAAUACGUAUUUACAAGCAAUUUCAAUCACAAACUGUUUUGGGAUAGCAAGUUCACAUUCCCCCCCUUCAUGUAAUAAUUUCUCUGGAAAUCAGUUCGAAAUCAUAAUAUCAUGUUCACUUCUAUCAUGAUGAAUCAAUUGUGUACAACCAUCCUCACAUAUGCCAACAAGAUUCCAAAUGACAUUACUAAAUCUAUUGCCCAACACCAGAACCUACCUUUCUCAAGGAAUGGAGAAUUUCCAACAACAUAUUUUACAUUUAAACCAAGAAAAAGAUAAAAAAAUGUUGGAGACAUCAAAAGGAG